rnacentral:rRNA from 1 species
GACGAACGCUGGCGGCGUGCUUAACACAUGCAAGUCGAACGGAAAGGCCCUGCUUUUGUGGGGUGCUCGAGUGGCGAACGGGUGAGUAACACGUGAGUAACCUGCCCUUGACUUUGGGAUAACUUCAGGAAACUGGGGCUAAUACCGGAUAGGAGCUCCUGCUGCAUGGUGGGGGUUGGAAAGUUUCGGCGGUUGGGGAUGGACUCGCGGCUUAUCAGCUUGUUGGUGGGGUAGUGGCUUACCAAGGCUUUGGCGGGUAGCCGGCCUGAGAGGGUGACCGGCCACAUUGGGACUGAGAGACGGCCCAGACGCCUACGGGAGGCAGCAGUGGGGAAUAUUGCACAAUGGGCGGAAGCCUGAUGCAGCAACGCCGCGUGCGGGAUGACGGCCUUCGGGUUGUAAACCGCUUUCGCCUGUGACGAAGCGUGAGUGACGGUAAUGGGUAAAGAAGCACCGGCUAACUACGUG